CUAAGUUUGAUGGCGACCGGCGCACGGUGAGUAACACGUAUCCAACCUGCCGAUGACUCGGGGAUAGCCUUUCGAAAGAAAGAUUAAUACCCGAUGGCAUAGUUCUUCCGCAUGGUAGAACUAUUAAAGAAUUUCGGUCAUCGAUGGGGAUGCGUUCCAUUAGGUUGUUGGCGGGUAACGGCCCACCAAGCCUUCGAUGGAUAGGGGUUCUGAGAGGAAGGUCCCCCACAUUGGAACUGAGACACGGUCCAAACUCCUACGGGAGGCAGCAUG
rnacentral:rRNA from 1 species